rnacentral:rRNA from 1 species
UACGUAGGGUGCAAGCGUUAAUCGGAAUUACUGGGCGUAAAGCGUGCACAGGCGGCUUUGCAAGACAGAUGUGAAAUCCCCGGGCUUAACCUGGGAACUGCAUUUGUGACUGCAUGGCUGGAGUGCGGCAGAGGGGAUGGAAUUCCGCGUGUAGCAGUGAAAUGCGUAGAUAUGCGGAGGAACACCGAUGGCGAAGGCAAUCCCCUGGGCCUGCACUGACGCUCAUGCACGAAAGCGUGGGGAGCAAACAGG